rnacentral:rRNA from 1 species
GAUGAACGCUGGCGGCGUGCUUAACACAUGCAAGUCGAACGGGGAACAUUUUAUGGAAGCUUCGGUGGAAAUAGCUUGUUCCUAGUGGCGGACGGGUGAGUAACGCGUGGGUAACCUGCCUCACACUGGGGGAUAACAGUCAGAAAUGACUGCUAAUACCGCAUAAGCGCACGGGAUUGCAUGAUCCAGUGUGAAAAACUCCGGUGGUGUGAGAUGGACCCGCGUUGGAUUAGCCAGUUGGCAGGGUAACGGCCUACCAAAGCGACGAUCCAUAGCCGGCCUGAGAGGGUGGACGGCCACAUUGGGACUGAGACACGGCCCAGACUCCUACGGGAGGCAGCAGUGGGGAAUAUUGCACAAUGGGGGAAACCCUGAUGCAGCGACGCCGCGUGAAGGAAGAAGUAUCUCGGUAUGUAAACUUCUAUCAGCAGGGAAGAAAAUGACGGU